rnacentral:lncRNA from 1 species
AUCUGACCCUCUGAGAUAGUCUGCCCUCAGCCACGAUGAACAACCUACCGGCCACACCUUCUCCUGAAGAACUGAUGACCACGCCGGUUUUUCAGGCCCCUGAGACAAUGUCCCCACAAGCUGAAGAGGCCAGCACAGCACUCAUUGCAGAAUAAAGGCAGCUACGUCACCUAUGAGCCUGCAGAAGGGGAGCCCAGCGCCAUCCUCCAGAUGGAGACUGACUCAGCCAAGGGCAAAGAGAAGGAAGAGUACUUCAUCUAAUGAUCCCCAGACUGGAGGGGCCAGUUCCUGGCUCCAACACUGAGACACUGCCUCUGUAGUUAGGGAAUGUAAAGUGGAAUUGAGUGAUACAGGCAAAUUCACUCACCUCCCAGGACACAGCCCCCAAUACCGGCAUCACUGACUCCAGGCUCCAGAGACACGGAGAGAGCUGCUCAUGACGUUGGGCCUUGGUAAGGACAGGACAAAAACUGGCCAACAAAGUGGGGCUGUGCCCGAGUUGGAAGUGAGGUCACAGGCUGGUUGAUGUCCCCUCCCUAGUUGCCUAGCAAUAACCCCAGUGUAGCUAUCUAGUCUUCCUGGAGGCUGGAUACCACAAGAAGGGGUCAGGCCAGGGUGGAUAGGAGUCUGAGAAUGUUACUGUCUUUGUUUGAUCUGAGCCCCACCGUUCCCCCAACAGUCUUAAACUAACACUGUUUUUAUCCAAAUUAAACUUAUUAUAAAAGUAAGAUUUUCA